AAUAAUAGACUGUGUAAAAUUUUGUGGCGCAUUUGAGCUGGCUUUGCGUGGCCACAAUGAGAGCGAGAGCUCAGAUAACCCCGGGAUAUUCCGUGGCUUGGUCGACUUUGUUGCUUCUCUUGAUGGAGUUUUGAAAGAGCACCUCGAGAAUGCCUCUGUGUUUAAGGGAACGUCGAAAACCGUGCAGAACGAGCUGUUGAACUGUAUGUUGUCUGUUAUGAGGGAACAAAUAAUCCAAGAAGCACAAAACAGCGAUUUUCUAUCAAUCCAGGCCGACGAGACCACUGAUAUUGCCACACAGUGCCAACUUGUGCUUGUGCUGCGCUACAUUGAUGGCAAAAGCAACGUACAGGAGAGGUUUUUUGCUUUUAUUCAUCUGCAUUCAACUACAGCUGAUUCCAUCGCUACAGCACUAAAAUAGCAUCUUACUGUCAUCCUUCCAGAGGAUCAGAAGAGUAAACUCAUCUCCAAGAGUAUGAUGGAGCCAGCGUGAUGAGAGGUGCCAGUGCAGGUGUUCAAAGGAAGAUUCAAGAUGUGUACCCAAAUGCCCAUUACAUCCACUGCUAUGCCCACCAGCUCAAUCUAAUAAUGCAAAAGGCCACUUCUCACAAACCCAAAGUUAGAUGGAACUUCCACAGCCAUGCCAUCAAUACAGUGUUUGAGCACAGAGAGGGCCUCAUUUGCUGUUUUGAAACUAUUCGAGACUCAGGUGACUUUGACCCUGUUACCACCAGAGAGGCAGGAGGCUUUGCCAUGCUGCUGGAGGAUCAGGAUUUUAAUUAUUUUCUGCAACUUUUCCACAACAUCAUGCCACACGUGGACAUCCUCUAUGCCAAACUCCAGAAGAAGGACAUAGAUUAAUUCACAUUAAGGGGAGCAUCCAGCAGUUCCAGCAGGAUAUACAGAAGAUCAGAAAUUCUCUCCAUUCUCUGGUUAACCAAAGCAGUGAAGGAGCUUCUCAACCAAAGAGACGGCGGUUGCUUAGUCCCGAGGUCCAUGAACGGAUUGCAACAGAGGUAUGUGACACCAUACUCCAACACACCAUGGAACGGUUCUGCUUCACAAGCCACCUCGUUAGUGCCACCUUGCUGCAAGCAGACAGGUUUGAACAGUACACAGUGGCGUUUCCUGAAGAUGCACUGAGUAGGACUUUGAAGACCUAUCCAGUGCUCAAUGGGAGUAAGACAGAGCUUAGUCUCAUCUACUACAAGGAAGAGUUCAGAACCUGUUGUGGUGCUGUGGACCUACUGAAGCUGUUUAAGGAGAACAAUCUUGAAUAAGUCUUUUCAGAGACUGUCACUCUCCUAAAGAUCCUCAUCACCACACCCAUGACCACAGCAGAGGCUGAGAGGUGUUUCUCAACUUUGAAAAGAGUUAAGACUUUUCUGAGAAAUAGCAUGACCCAGGAGAGGCUAAAUGCAUUGGCCAUGCUGUCAAUGGAGAAGAGAAUGGUGACUGAGAUAACUGACUUUAACCAGAAGGUCAUUGAGAAAUUUGCAAGUCAGAAAGAAAGGAGAGCAAAAUUUAUUUUCAAAGAGUGUUAAUGGCCAAUGAUUAGGUAACUAU